rnacentral:tRNA from 1 species
GCACCCGUAGCUCAGCUGGAUAGAGCGCUGCCCUCCGGAGGCAGAGGUCAGAGGUUCGAAUCCUCUCGGGUGCA